rnacentral:rRNA from 1 species
GAGGAAAAGAAACUAACAAGGAUUCCCCUAGUAACGGCGAGUGAAGAGGGAAGAGCCCAAGAUUGAAAGCUGGCGUCUUCGGCGUCCGCAUUGUAAUCUCAAGAAGUGUUUUCCGCUUCGGACCAUGCCUAAGUCCCUUGGAAAAGGGCAUCAUAGAGGGUGAUAAUCCCGUACAUGGCAUGGAGCGCCCGAGGCUUUGUGAUACGCUUUCUAAGAGUCGAGUUGUUUGGGAAUGCAGCUCAAAAUGGGUGGUAAAUGCCAUCUAAGGCUAAAUAUUGGGGAGAGACCGAUAGCGAACAAGUACAGUGAUGGAAAGAUGAAAAGAACUUUGAAAAGAGAGUUAAACAGUACGUGAAAUUGCCAAAAGGGAAGGGUAGGAGGUCAGAGAUGCGUCUUGGGAUUCAGCCUUGCUUCUGCUGGGUGUUUUUCCCAAGUUGCAGGCCAACGUCGGUUUUGGGCACUGGAGAAGGGUGGAAGGAACGUGGCACCUCUCGGGGUGUGUUAUAGCCUUCUACUGGAUACAGCGACCGAGACCGAGGACAGCAGCGUACUCGCAAGAGCGGGCCUUCGGGCACCUUUACGCUUAGGGCGUUGGCAUAAUGGCCCUCUACCACCCGUCUUGAAACACGGACCAAGGAGUCU